rnacentral:rRNA from 1 species
CCUACGGGUGGCAGCAGUGAGGGAUAUUGGUCAAUGGGGGAAACCCUGAACCAGCAACGCCGCGUGAGGGAUGACGGUCUUCGGAGUGUAAACCUCUGUCUUCUGUGAAGAUGAUUACGGUAGCAGAGGAGUUAUCUCCGGCUAACUACGUGACAGCAGCCGCGGUAAUACGUAGGGAGCAAGCGUUGUCCGGAUUUACUGGGUGUAAAGGGUGCGUAGUCGGCUUUGCAAGUCAGAAGUGAAAUCCAUGGGCUUAACCCAUAAACUGCAUGUGAAACUGGAGAGCUUGAGUGGAGUAGAGGUAGGCGGAAUUCCUGGUGUAGCGGUGAAAUGCGUAGAGAUCAGGAGGAACACCAGUGGCGAAGGCAGCCUACUGGACUGUAACUGACGCUGAGGCACGAAAGCGUGGGUAGCAAACAGGAUUAGAUACCCUAGUAGUC